rnacentral:rRNA from 1 species
GGUUGGAAUAAUUAGCGGGGAAAGAAGACCCUGUUGAGCUUGACUCUAGUCUGGCAGUGUAAGGAGACAUAAGAGGUNUUGCAUAAGUGGGAGAUAUAUAGUUUCGGCUAUAUGUCAACAAUGAAAUACCACUACUCUUAUUGUUUCCUUACUUACUUGAUAAAAUGGAACGUGUAUCAUUUACUUAGCCAUUAUACGGAUAUAUUUAUAUAUUUUAUGGUAUUUUGUUUUGAUGCAAGCUUCUUGAUCAAAGUACCAAGAGUUUGUUAUAUAAACCAAACAAAUUCUGAUGAAAUUUUAUGUAUUUUCUAUUAUAGAGGAUACAUUAUUAGAGUAGUUGAAUUUGGUAUGACUCUUACACUCAGGUAUGAUCCAAUUCAAGGACAUUGCCAGGUGGGGAGUUUGACUGGGGCGGUACAUCUCUCAAAUAAUAACGGAGGUGUCCCAAGGCCAGCUCAGUGCGGCAGAAACCACACAUAGAGCAAAAGGGCAAAUGCUGCUUGAUCUCGGGUUCAGUCACACAGAGACAGCAAAAGCUCGGCCUAUCGUCCUUUUGGUUUAAAGAGUUUUUAACAAGAGGUGCAGAAAAGUACCCCANGGAUAACUGGCUUGAGCGCCAACCGUUCAUA